AGAUGAAGAACGUAGCGAAAUGCGAUACGUAAUGAAUUGCAGAAUUCAGUGAAUCAUCGAGUCUUUGAACGCACAUUGCGCCCCCUGGUAUUCCGGGGGGCAUGCCUGUCCGAGCGUCAUUGCUGCCCUCAAGCACGGCUUGUGUGUUGGGCCUCCGUCCUCCUCCCGGGGGACGGGCCCGAAAGGCAGCGGCGGCACCGCGUCCGGUCCUCGAGCGUAUGGGGCUUCGUCACCCGCUCUUGUAGGCCCGGCCGGCGCUUGCCGACACAUCAAUCUUUUUUCCAGGUUGACCUCGGAUCAGGUAGGGAUACCCGCUGAACUUAAGCAUAUCAAUAAGCGGAGGA
rnacentral:misc_RNA from 1 species